rnacentral:rRNA from 1 species
UGAGGAAUAUUGGUCAAUGGACGGAAGUCUGAACCAGCCAAGUAGCGUGCAGGAAGACGGCCCUAUGGGUUGUAAACUGCUUUUGUAUGGGGAUAAAGUCAAUCACGUGUGAUUGUUUGCAGGUACCAUACGAAUAAGGACCGGCUAAUUCCGUGCCAGCAGCCGCGGUAAUACGGAAGGUUCGGGCGUUAUCCGGAUUUAUUGGGUUUAAAGGGAGCGUAGGCCGGAGAUUAAGUGUGUUGUGAAAUGUAGACGCUCAACGUCUGACUUGCAGCGCAUACUGGUUUCCUUGAGUACGCACAACGUUGGCGGAAUUCGUCGUGUAGCGGUGAAAUGCUUAGAUAUGACGAAGAACUCCGAUUGCGAAGGCAGCUGACGGGAGCGCAACUGACGCUGAAGCUCGAAGGUGCGGGUAUCGAACAGGAUUAGAUACCCUGGUAGUCCGCACAGUAAACGAUGGAUGCCCGCUGUUGGUACCUGGUAUCAGCGGCUAAGCGAAAGCAUUAAGCAUCCCACCUGGGGAGUACGCCGGCAACGGU